rnacentral:lncRNA from 1 species
AUGGAUACGGUGCAGAGAGAAAGAGAAUCAGCAUGCCAUUUCAUAGAACAAGUUAUGAAAGCUUUCUCCAAAUGCCUAGGACUUGAUCCAUCAUCAGUUGAAAAUAUCCAAUACGGUGUGGUUGAUAAUAAUGGUGAAGUAACAUCAUCCAUGACAUCACGAGCCUUUAAAAGGCCUCCAAAACCUCCUUUAAGCGCGGGAAGGGGAGCUCAAAUCAAUCUUUCCUCCUCUUAA